GACGAACGCUGGCGGCGUGCUUAACACAUGCAAGUCGAACGGAAAGCUUCCUUCGGGAAGACUCGAGUGGCGAACGGGUGAGUAACACGUGAGUAACCUGCCCUGGUCUUUGGGAUAACCUUCGGAAACGGGGGCUAAUACCGGAUAUUCCCGCUGUUCCGCAUGGGGUGGUGGGGAAAGUUUUUUCGGAUCGGGUUGGGCUCGCGGCCUAUCAGCUUGUUGGUGGGGUGAUGGCUUACCAAGGCUUUGACGGGUAGCCGGCCUGAGAGGGCGACCG
rnacentral:rRNA from 1 species